UUUCACCUAUCGUUCCAUUUGCAG
rnacentral:ncRNA from 9 species